GAUGAACGCUGGCGGCGUGCCUAAUACAUGCAAGUCGAGCGAACAGACGAGGAGCUUGCUCCUCUGACGUUAGCGGCUGACGGGUGAGUAACACGUGGAUAACCUACCUAUAAGACUGGGAUAACUUCGGGAAACCGGAGCUAAUACCGGAUAAUAUAUUGAACCGCAUGGUUCAAUAGUGAAAGACGGUUUUGCUGUCACUUAUAGAUGGAUCCGCGCCGCAUUAGCUAGUUGGUAAGGUAACGGCUUACCAAGGCAACGAUGCGUAGCCGACCUGAGAGGGUGAUCGGCCACACUGGAACUGAGACACGGUCCAGACUCCUACGGGAGGCAGCAGUAGGGAAUCUUACGCAAUGGGCGAAAGCCUGACGGAGCAACGCCGCGUGAGUGAUGAAGGUCUUCGGAUCGUAAAACUCUGUUAUUAGGGAAGAACAAAUGUGUAAGUAACUAUGCACGUCUUGACGGUACCUAAUCAGAAAGCCACGGCUAACUACGUG
rnacentral:rRNA from 1 species